rnacentral:lncRNA from 1 species
UUCUGCCAUCAAGCUGUCCAUCAAGUGUAAUGAACUGUCCGACAUGGGAUCCAAAUCCUCCAACUGAGCCUUCCUCAACUGUUACUAGAAAUUCAUGAUUUUCACAUAGCUGUCUGAGAAGCUUCAGGUCGAGUGGCUUGCAGAAUCUUGCAUCGGCAACAGUUACCUCAAUGCCAAGCUUUGAGAGAAGCUGACGAGCUUUGAGGCAGUUCUGAACCAUGGCUCCAUACCCAAGCAAAGCAACAUCUUUACCAUCUAUAAGAACUUUUCCCUUUCCAAUCUGCUCUACAGAAAUGGGCAAACAAACAAAAGGUAUAAGCUCAUGCUCAGACUUAGAAUUUCAUAAUAUGCAUCAAAGAGUCAGAGAACCAACAAUUACAAAAACACAAUAAAGGGUUUCAAAAUUCAAAUAAAACUUUUAAGGGAAAAAAAAAAAUUAGAGGAACACCUUGUAAGGCAUGUAUUGCAUGUUCAUUGUUGUCUAACACAAUAUUUAUUCAUGGGAUAACAGGUGACAAUAACAUGAGGUUGUGUAAGGCAGAAUGCACAAGAAUAAGAAAAAGGACAGGAAUAAGGAUAUGCUUCCAAACAUUAAAAGAUUGCCAUCAGCAACAACCAAAAGAAUUUUCUCUAAGCAACAAAUAAGUGUCACUGCAACAUUAAAUAUCAGCACAAAGUAAGAGCGAACAAACAAAUACGUCAAGAAUUACCUCAAUUGGAAUUCCACUGCGUGUAUAAUGGUCUGUCCCAAUAAUAGCACCCCUUGGAUAACGGAAGCAGACUGGACGAUCACCUUAGUCCUAGAUUAAUAAUUAAUUCAUCUGUGUAUCUGUGACAUAAUCUUGUCUAAAUGCAAAAACGAUGUCAGGUGUCUCAAGUGUGAAUACGACUACCAAAAGCACAUGCAAACGGGAAUAAAAAAAAAAGAAAAGAAAAGCAUGAUUUCUCCAACUAACACGUGCAUGAGACACUAGAAUAAAAUUCAUAUAAUUGUUUUUAUUUUCCACAUACAUUGUGUUUUAAAGAUAAUGAAAAACAUAAUAAUAAAAAAGAAAAAAAAAAUUCUAAAGUUAAAUACCUACUACCGAACUAAAUACCUAAAAGUUUCAGCUCCUCACGCGUUUGUCCAUGCAACGCAAGGCACGUGAAAGAUGAUCUCUCGUAGAUUACAGUAGGAACUGGCUUCAUUGUUUAUUUAUUAAUUUUUUUAGUAUUAGGAAGAAGAGUUCUGUUGUAAACUGGCUUUAUUAAAAUUUCCUUACAUUAGGAUUUUUUGAAGGUAAAUACAGAGAACAUCAGUCUUCAGUCCUAAUUAAACUCUUUAAUGUUGUAAAGUUCUAUACAGCCAUACAAACCUGACGUUAUAUUAAUAACAUGCAAACUAACUAGGAUAAUAUAUAAGCUACCAAAAACAUUGCUAAUGACUUGAGCUUCUAUUUGUCCUUGUUCCUUCAGUGCUGGUUCAAUCUUGUAUUCUUCUUGAAAAAAUAGCAGAGAAAAUAUCCAUAGUCUAACACAUUAACAGGAGAGCUUCACGGGUACGACCAAGCAGUCUUAGUACUGUUGCAGCAAUGUGAUGUCCAGUCAGCCCAGCAAGAGUCAGCUGUUCCUUCGGCAGUGCAUGUUCGAUGUAUCUGUCUGGUAAAACUAUAGGUCGCCACUGGAGAAAUUUAUUUGAAACAAGAUUAGAAUUUAGAAUUAAGAUACAAUAGUUUGACUCCAAACAAGAGCUAUCAUCAUAAUAUAUUAGGCGCUAUCAUGAUAGCAGCAAUACAUCACUUGAUUAUUACCUUAGUUCUGCCAUCAAGCUGUCCAUCAAGUGUAAUGAACUGUCCGACAUGGGAUCCAAAUCCUCCAACUGAGCCUUCCUCAACUGUUACUAGAAAUUCAUGAUUUUCACAUAGCUGUCUGAGAAGCUUCAGGUCGAGUGGCUUGCAGAAUCUUGCAUCGGCAACAGUUACCUCAAUGCCAAGCUUUGAGAGAAGCUGACGAGCUUUGAGGCAGUUCUGAACCAUGGCUCCAUACCCAAGCAAAGCAACAUCUUUACCAUCUAUAAGAACUUUUCCCUUUC